CCUACGGGAGGCAGCAGUAAGGAAUAUUGGACAAUGCUCGCAAGAGUGAUCCAGCCAUGCCGCGUGCAGGAAGAAUGCCCUAUGGGUAGUAAACUGCUUUUGAACUAGAGAAAACCCCAGUACGUGUACUGGGCUGAUAGUAUAGUUAGAAUAAGCAUCGGCUAACUUCGUGCCAGCAGCCGCGGUAAGACGAAGGAUGCAAGCGUUAUCCGGAUUCAUUGGGUUUAAAGGGAGCGUAGGUGGACUUAUAAGUCAGUGGUGAAAUCUCCGAGCUUAACUCGGAAAUUGCCAUUGAUACUGUAGGUCUUGAGUACAGUUGCUGUGGGCGGAAUAUGACAUGUAGUGGUGAAAUACAUAGAGAUGUCAUAGAACACCGAUUGCGAAGGCAGCUCACAAAGCUGUAACUGACACUGAGGCUCGAAAGUGCGGGGAUCAAACAGGAUUAGAUACCCUGGUAGUCCGCACCGUAAACGAUGAUUACUCGCUGCUAGGGGGCAACCUUUAGUGGCUUAGCGAAAGCGAUAAGAAUCCACCUGGGGAGUAGCCGGCAACGGUGAAACUCAAAGGAAUUGACGGCNGAGAGNGCGAGGACGACACGAGGGAGGAGG
rnacentral:rRNA from 1 species